CAGCGCCACGAGUGGGAACCAGAUUUAUUGGGCCUAAAGCGUUCGUAGCCGGUUAUGUAAAUCUUUUGUGAAAUCGUCAGGCUUAACCUGACGGACUGCAGAAGAAACUGCAUAACUCGGGACCGGAAGGGGUCAGGAGUAUUUUUUGGGGAGCGGUAAAAUGCUAUAAUCCAAAAAAGACUACCUGUGGCGAAGGCGCCUGACCAGUACGGGUCCGACGGUGAGGAACGAAAGCUAGGGGAGCGAUCCGGAUUAGAUACCCGAGUAGUCC
rnacentral:rRNA from 1 species